AGUGAACGCUGGCGGUAGGCCUAACACAUGCAAGUCGAACGGCAGCACAGUAAAAGCUUGCUCUUACGGGUGGCGAGUGGCGGCCGGGUGAGGAAUACAUCGGAAUCUACUUUUUCGUGGGGGAUAACGUAGGGAAACUUACGCUAAUACCGCAUCCGACCUACGGGUGAAAGAAGGGGAUCUUCGGACCUUGCGCGAUUGAAUGAGCCGAUGUCGGAUUAGCUAGUUGGCGGGGUAAAGGCCCACCAAGGCGACGAUCCGUAGCUGGUCUGAGAGGAUGAUCAGCCACACUGGAACUGAGACACGGUCCAGACUCCUACGGGAGGCAGCAGUGGGGAAUAUUGGACAAUGGGCGCAAGCCUGAUCCAGCCAUGCCGCGUGGGUGAAGAAGGCCUUCGGGUUGUAAAGCCCUUUUGUUGGGAAAGAAAAGCAGCAGGUUAAUACCCCGCUGUUCUGACGGUACCCAAAGAAUAAGCACCGGCUAACUUCGUG
rnacentral:rRNA from 1 species